CAUUUGGAAAAUAAAACAGCGUAAAGUGUGUGAAUGUUCUCAGUGCCACUGUGCUCAACAAGGAAGCCAAAACGACGUAACACGCAACGUGCUGUCUGCCCAGUGGUGUGACGUUAGUGGGCGGCACGCAGGGCACGCACUGCGAAAGGCCCCAUGAUAACCUCCCCUUGCUGGGGUGCGUCUAAAGACGAUGAUCUUGUAUCGACGAUAGCCAGAUAUAUUGUCAAAAACAUCAAUUGCUGGCAAUAUUAAGAUACGUAUUUGCCAUUUCCAAUUAAUGUUUUCAAAUUUAAUUCUCUUAAAAAGUGAAAGAAUUUAGGUUAUUAUUAAAUAAUUUUCAUUAUUAAAGAAUUUUAAUUCUUGGAAUGCAGUCAAAGCACUGAAUCUGAUGGUCACUUAAUUUAACAAACACAUCAUAAAACUAAGGCUGAAAUUAUAUACAAUACAAAAAAUAUACAUAUUGUGGUGCAAGCUAAAUUAAAGAAAUUCCAUGCAGUGUUCGUGUUAUGUGAUUAUAGUUAGAGCAAUACAUUAGAGCAACAUAAUCCAGAACAUGCAUGAAGAAUGUUGCAUUUAACAUCCGGAUAUUUCUUUCAAUAGGGACGUUGGAAGACGAGGGACAUCCAAAGUCGAAUGCGUCCAGCACCUCGGCGUUACACAGGCACAUGGACAGCCACCACACUCAGGUGCUCCAGAGGUCACGUGCAUGUGGGGAUCAGCGGGCCACUCUGCAAGGAAUUGUUGCGCUGGCGGAGGAGUGUUUUUUUCCAGAAGCAGGGUUGGGGAUACAUCCAUUAUGCACCAUACUAAAAAUUACCUUUCUGUCAUUUUCUCAGGUGCUCCAGAGGUCACGUGCAUGUGGGGAUCAGCGGGCCACUCUGCAGGAAUUGUUGCGCUGGCGGAGGAGUGUUUGGGAUGGUCGACCGGACUGGCAGAACGCUUGGCUCCACACAAACACCUCACCCACCCUAACAGUGAAGACCAAGAGUCCCAGAAAGAAAUCAUCGCCCUAGAGAUUGUGGUCUUCCUGGGUUAAACCUCAGUUAACCCCAACUCCUUA
rnacentral:lncRNA from 1 species